rnacentral:tRNA from 1 species
UGGGCUGUAGCUCGGUGGCAGAGCGCUCGCUUAGCAUGUGUGAAGCCCUGGGUUCCAUCCUCAGCACCACAU